rnacentral:rRNA from 1 species
GGUUAAGCGACUAAGCGUACACGGUGGAUGCCCUGGCAGUCAGAGGCGAUGAAGGGCGUGCUAAUCUGCGAUAAGCGCCGGUAAGGUGAUAUGAACCGUUAUAACCGGCGAUACCCGAAUGGGGAAACCCAGUGUGAUUCGUCACACUAUCAUUAACUGAAUCCAUAGGUUAAUGAGGCGAACCGGGGGAACUGAAACAUCUAAGUACCCCGAGGAAAAGAAAUCAACCGAGAUUCCCCCAGUAGCGGCGAGCGAACGGGGAGGAGCCCAGAGCCUGAAUCAGCAUGUGUGUUAGUGGAAGCGUCUGGAAAGGCGCGCGAUACAGGGUGACAGCCCCGUACACAAAAGCGCAUGUGCUGUGAGCUCGAUGAGUAGGGCGGGACACGUGGUAUCCUGUCUGAAUAUGGGGGGACCAUCCUCCAAGGCUAAAUACUCCUGACUGACCGAUAGUGAACCAGUACCGUGAGGGAAAGGCGAAAAGAACCCCGGCGAGGGGAGUGAAAAAGAACCUGAAACCGUGUACGUACAAGCAGUGGGAGCACAGGUUUACCUGUGUGACUGCGUACCUUUUGUAUAAUGGGUCAGCGACUUAUAUUCUGUAGCAAGGUUAACCGUAUAGGGGAGCCGGAGGGAAACCGAGUCUUAAUUGGGCGUUAAGUUGCAGGGUAUAGACCCGAAACCCGGUGAUCUAGCCAUGGGCAGGUUGAAGGUUGGGUAACACUAACUGGAGGACCGAACCGACUAAUGUUGAAAAAUUAGCGGAUGACCUGUGGCUGGGGGUGAAAGGCCAAUCAAACCGGGAGAUAGCUGGUUCUCCCCGAAAGCUAUUUAGGUAGCGCCUCGUGAAUUCAUCUCCGGGGGUAGAGCACUGUUUCGGCUAGGGGGCCAUCCCGGCUUACCAACCCGAUGCAAACUGCGAAUACCGGAGAAUGUUAUCACGGGAGACACACGGCGGGUGCUAACGUCCGUCGUGAAGAGGGAAACAACCCAGACCGCCAGCUAAGGUCCCAAAGUCAUGGUUAAGUGGGAAACGAUGUGGGAAGGCCCAGACAGCCAGGAUGUUGGCUUAGAAGCAGCCAUCAUUUAAAGAAAGCGUAAUAGCUCACUGGUCGAGUCGGCCUGCGCGGAAGAUGUAACGGGGCUAAACCAUGCACCGAAGCUGCGGCAGCGAACGUAUCACCCAAGACAACUUUACGGAGUUGACGAUUGACGGAGCGAAGCGACGUCAAAGCGUUCAUUAAAGUCGAGUUGGCUUAGGGAUACGUUCGUUGGGUAGGGGAGCGUUCUGUAAGCCUGUGAAGGUGUGUCGUGAGGCAUGCUGGAGGUAUCAGAAGUGCGAAUGCUGACAUAAGUAACGAUAAAGCGGGUGAAAAGCCCGCUCGCCGGAAGACCAAGGGUUCCUGUCCAACGUUAAUCGGGGCAGGGUGAGUCGACCCCUAAGGCGAGGCCGAAAGGCGUAGUCGAUGGGAAACGGGUUAAUAUUCCCGUACUUGGUGUUACUGCGAAGGGGGGACGGAGAAGGCUAUGUUGGCCGGGCGACGGUUGUCCCGGUUUAAGCGUGUAGGUGUGUGUUCCAGGUAAAUCCGGUUCACUUUAACACUGAGGCGUGACGACGAGGCACUACGGUGCUGAAGCAACAAAUGCCCUGCUUCCAGGAAAAGCCUCUAAGCAUCAGGUAACAUCAAAUCGUACCCCAAACCGACACAGGUGGUCAGGUAGAGAAUACCAAGGCGCUUGAGAGAACUCGGGUGAAGGAACUAGGCAAAAUGGUGCCGUAACUUCGGGAGAAGGCACGCUGACACGUAGGUGAAGUGAUUUACUCAUGGAGCUGAAGUCAGUCGAAGAUACCAGCUGGCUGCAACUGUUUAUUAAAAACACAGCACUGUGCAAACACGAAAGUGGACGUAUACGGUGUGACGCCUGCCCGGUGCCGGAAGGUUAAUUGAUGGGGUCAGCGCAAGCGAAGCUCCUGAUCGAAGCCCCGGUAAACGGCGGCCGUAACUAUAACGGUCCUAAGGUAGCGAAAUUCCUUGUCGGGUAAGUUCCGACCUGCACGAAUGGCGUAAUGAUGGCCAGGCUGUCUCCACCCGAGACUCAGUGAAAUUGAACUCGCUGUGAAGAUGCAGUGUACCCGCGGCAAGACGGAAAGACCCCGUGAACCUUUACUAUAGCUUGACACUGAACAUUGAGCCUUGAUGUGUAGGAUAGGUGGGAGGCUUUGAAGCGUGGACGCCAGUCUGCGUGGAGCCGACCUUGAAAUACCACCCUUUAAUGUUUGAUGUUCUAACGUGGACCCGUUACCCGGGUUGCGGACAGUGUCUGGUGGGUAGUUUGACUGGGGCGGUCUCCUCCUAAAGAGUAACGGAGGAGCACGAAGGUUGGCUAAUCCUGGUCGGACAUCAGGAGGUUAGUGCAAUGGCAUAAGCCAGCUUGACUGCGAGCGUGACGGCGCGAGCAGGUGCGAAAGCAGGUCAUAGUGAUCCGGUGGUUCUGAAUGGAAGGGCCAUCGCUCAACGGAUAAAAGGUACUCCGGGGAUAACAGGCUGAUACCGCCCAAGAGUUCAUAUCGACGGCGGUGUUUGGCACCUCGAUGUCGGCUCAUCACAUCCUGGGGCUGAAGUAGGUCCCAAGGGUAUGGCUGUUCGCCAUUUAAAGUGGUACGCGAGCUGGGUUUAGAACGUCGUGAGACAGUUCGGUCCCUAUCUGCCGUGGGCGCUGGAGAACUGAGGGGGGCUGCUCCUAGUACGAGAGGACCGGAGUGGACGCAUCACUGGUGUUCGGGUUGUCAUGCCAAUGGCACUGCCCGGUAGCUAAAUGCGGAAGAGAUAAGUGCUGAAAGCAUCUAAGCACGAAACUUGCCCCGAGAUGAGUUCUCCCUGAGACUUAGAGUCUCCUGAAGGAACGUUGAAGACGACGACGUUGAUAGGCCGGGUGUGUAAGCGCAGCGAUGCGUUGAGCUAACCGGUACUAAUGAACCGUGAGGCUUAACCUU